rnacentral:rRNA from 1 species
AUUGAACGCUGGCGGCAGGCUUAACACAUGCAAGUCGAACGAGUGGCGGACGGGUGAGUAAUGUUUGGGAAUCUAGCUUAGGGAGGGGGAUAACUACGGGAAACUGUAGCUAAUACCGCGUACCAUAGGGUGAGCCCAUGGUGGAUUAGGUAGUUGGUGAGGUAAAGGCUCACCAAGCCGACGAUCUCUAGCUGGUCUGAGAGGAUGACCCGCCACACUGUGACUGAGACACGGCCCAGACGCCUACGGGAGGAAGCAGUGGGGAAUAUUGCGCAAUGGGGGCAACCUGACGCAGCCAUGCCGCGUGAAUGAAGAAGGCCUUCGGGUUGUAAAGUUCUUUCGGUAGCGAGGCGUUAACUACAGAAGAAGCACCGGCUAACUCCGUGCCAGCCGCCGCGGUAAUUC